GGAAGACUUAAGAUGGCGGCGUUUGCACGGAGUGCAAUCACUGCGUCCUUACGGGGGUUGCAAGGCGUCCGAAGUAUGAGUCCACUAACAAAAGUCCAGAAACUCGCCAGUUAAUAGUAUUGUGUCUCUUCAAAAUAUCGGAGAAUAAUUUCUUUCUCGCUGAUCGCCUAACUUCUACUGACGAAGCUUGGAAGUUGCAGAAGUUCGCUCUUGUUGCCCAGGCUGGAAUGCAAUGGCAUGACCUUGGCUCACUGCAACCUCUGCCUCCCCAGUUCAAGUGGUUCUCCUGCCUCAGCCUCCCGAGUAGCUGAGAUUACAGAAAAGGGGUUUCACCUUUUGGCCAGGCUGAUCUCGAACUUCUGACCUCAAGCAAUCCACCCGCCUUGGCCUCCCAAAGUGCUGGGAUUACAGGCGUGAGCCACUGCGCCCAGCCCAUAUAGAGGUACUGGCUCCUGUAUCACCCAGCUCUGGAGUUGAAAGAGCUCUUCAUUCCUGAGUCUCCUGUACCACUGAGAAUAGGCUGGAGUGCAGUGGCGCAAUCUCGGCUCUCUGCAACCUUCACCUCCCGUGUUCAAGUGAUUCUCCUGCCUCAGCCUCCUGAAUACCUGAGAUUACAAGCAUGCACCACCACGCCCGUCUAAUUUUGUAUUUUCACUAGAGACGGGGUUUCUCCAUGUUGGUCAGGCUGGUCUCGAACUCCCGACCUCAGGUGAUCCGCCCGCCUCAGCCUCCCAAAGUGCUGGGAUUACAGGCAUGAGCCACCGCGUCCAGCAAGAAUAGGUGAUUUUCAAACUUGGAAACAUUCAGAAGUUAUCGCCUCAGUUUCAGAUUGAGUAGUCUCAAAGAGAUUACAGACAUCUACCACAAAUUCUCUACUUGGUGUGGUGCAAAAUCAGUAUGAUGUAAACUUUGUCUCUCAGUUUCUUCAAAGGAAAGAAGCAACUGGAACACACAUAUAACACUAACCCUUCCAGCUGCAUUAUGAGGGACCAGUACCUGUCUCAAGGCAAAAUUAUGACUUAGUUCAUCCUCACCUCUGGAGGCCAGUAAAAGUGGGUUAUAGAAGAACAAAGAGGCAUCUAGAUCUUUCACUGGGUUAUUUGGAGAGAAACAUCUCCUACCGAAGGCCAGUUUAACAAGACUGGUAGAGGAGGUUAUCUUAUCUAAUUCACAGAAAUCAACACAUUGAGUCAAGAAAAAUGAAACACAGAAA
ensembl:lncRNA JPX JPX transcript, XIST activator